GAGAGUCAAAGAGACCGCAAAACCGUUGGGAGGGAAACGAAUGUGGCCAUGAAGGCUCSUUUCAGKUUCAGGGKGGSCUGGGUUSGGGGCUUGCGCUGUGUGGGGACCCGUAUUCGGGCCCGGCCAACGCAAGUUCCAUCGAGGUUCCUGCAUUCUCGUUUGGAGUCCACCAACGGCGGCCGUUCCCGGUGGAGAAGGGUCGUAGGGUCA
rnacentral:rRNA from 1 species